rnacentral:lncRNA from 1 species
ACAAGCCCCAAGUUUCAAUGUGUCAAUUGGGCAUGUUGCCUUUGUUGUUGGUGGACAAGGUUUUUUCCCUUUAGGUGAUGGUUUAAUUACUGGUGGAACUGUGACUGGUGGAAUUCCAAUAGGUGGCAAAUCAACUGGAGGUUUUACAAUUGGUGGAACUGUGACCGGUGGAAUCCCAACAGGUGGCAAAUCAACAGGUGGUUUUACGAUUGGUGGAAUUCCGACAGGUGGCAAUUUGACAGGUGGUUUUACGAUUGGUGGAAUUCCGACAGGUGGCAAUAUGACGGGCGGUUUUACGAUUGGUGGAAUUCCGAUAGGUGGCAAUUUGACUGGUGGUUUUACGAUCGGUGGAAUUCCGAUAGGGGGCAAAUUAACAGGUGGUUUCACGAUUGGUGGAAUUCCGAUAGGGGGCAAAUCGACAGGGGGUUUGACAAUGGGAGUGGGAACUUUGGGCUUUUUGGGCUUGUGAGAAGGUUUACCACAAUAGCCACAUCCAAGAAUGGGAGUGAAUGAAGAAAGGAAAAGCAUAGAAAUGAAAAGAAGUGAAG